rnacentral:rRNA from 1 species
GUGUCAGCCGCCGCGGUAAUACGUAGGGGGCAAGCGUUGUCCGGAAUCACUGGGCGUAAAGCGUGCGUAGGUGGUUGCGUAAGUCUGGAGUGAAAGUCCAAGGCUCAACCUUGGGAAUGCUUUGGAUACUGCGUAACUUGAGUACUGGAGAGGCAAGGGGAAUUCCACGUGUAGCGGUGAAAUGCGUAGAUAUGUGGAGGAAUACCAGUGGCGAAGGCGCCUUGCUGGACAGAAACUGACGCUGAGGCACGAAAGCGUGGGGAGCAAACAGGAUUAGAUACCCUGGUAGUCCACGCCGUAAACGAUGAGUGCUAGGUGUUGGGGGGUAACACCCUCAGUGCCGAAGGAAACCCAUUAAGCACUCCGCCUGGGGAGUACGGUCGCAAGACUGAA